ACUCCUACGGGAGGCAGCAGUGGGGAAUAUUGCACAAUGGGCGCAAGCCUGAUGCAGCCAUGCCGCGUGUAUGAAGAAGGCCUUCGGGUUGUAAAGUACUUUCAGCGAGGAGGAAGGCAUUGUGAUUAAUAACCGCAGUGAUUGACGUUACUCGCAGAAGAAGCACUGGCUAACUCCGUGCCAGCAGCCGCGGUAAU
rnacentral:rRNA from 1 species